ensembl:lncRNA
CCAGUAUUUCUUUCCAAGCCAAGUCAAACCAGAAUGUGUUAUCAUCAUCUAGUGUCCACAAGCCAAAAUGCAGGAUCUGGCAUUUUGACAGAAAAACCAUCAACAAACCCAGUCGAUGCUCAUCAAACUUUCCCUCUGUUAGCUGUCAAUUUUAAUUCAUUAGUCUUAGAGAUGUGUUGGUAUUUACAAUGGUAAUACAGGGCAGCCAGUCAGAAAUAAAUAAAAUCAUGACCAAAAAAAAACUCUGAACACUGAUAUUCUCUCAUGCAGCUAUAACAAGAUUUCCCUGCUAUAUCUAAUCAUUACAAAGUUGACUCACCACAUAGAAAUAUAAUCUAUAGAACAUAAUAGGGAUUCUAUUUCUAUAACUAUGGGUUCUAUGCAUUCUAUUCCUAUUUUUCUCCAUAUUCCACCAUUGUCUCAGGGAUCUCUGCUCCUCAUCUCAUUCCAUCCAGUCCAGAAGACAUUCAUAACGUUCUGUAACCUUCAGAAGCUCUAACUGCAACAGAAUAUGGUAACGCUUUCUAUAAAUAGCCUCUUUAAAAUGCAGUAGAAGCACAUGUUUAAGUUGGGAUAAACAAUCAAAAGGCCGUUAUAAAUAUACUUACAAUGCAGGUUCUACCAUAACACAAUGCAGGUUCUACCAUAAGGCACUUUUAUGCAAAUAUAAAUAAAACUGUAAUAAACAAUUGUUUACAAUCAUCAGCACUCCAAGUCAAACACUUUGAAAAAAUAAUUCACAAAGGGUUUUUUGGCUGUCCCAAAAGGAGAACGCUUUUUGGUUCCAGAUAGAACCCUUUUUGGUUCCAGGUGGAAGUCUUUCGGGUUCCAUGUUGAACCCUCUGUAGAAAGGGCCCUAAAUGGAAACAAAAGGGUUCUUCCUGGAACCAUUCAAAUGGUUCUCACAUGGCAGGGCUCUCUAACCCUGUUCCUGGAGAGCUACCGUCCUGUAGGUUUUUUCUCACCUGAUGCUAUUAAUUAGCUGGUUGAUUAUCUGAAUGUGGUUAGUUACAAUAGGGGUUGGCGUGAACCUACAAGACGGUAGCUCUCUAGGAACGGUUGGAGAGCCCUGUCCUAUGGGGACAGCCAAAGAACCCUUUAGAUUCUAGACAGCAUCUAAGAGUGUAGUAAGGGGACACGCUGCACACGCUUCCCAAUGCCUUCUAUCGUUUUCGAUUAGGAAAAAGAAAUCUUAAUCGAUAACCUUCUUGAAAGGCAUCAGGUAGAAGUAAAUGAAUCCAUAAAUACAAACAUAAUUGUACAUAUAUCUAAAAGCUGCAAUAUGUAACAUUUUGGGUGACCUGAACACAUUCACAUAGAAUUGUGAGUUAUAGAUAUGUCAUUCUCAUUGAAAGCAUGUCUAAGAAGCGCUAUAUCUGUUCUAUGUGUGCGAUUUCUAUGCUUCCUGUCCUUAAGUUUCAUUUUUGCACACCAGCUUUAAACAGCUGAAAACACAAUAUUUUUGGAAAAUACAGUCACAGUCAAAAGUUUGGACACUCCUACUCAUUCAAGGCUUUUUCUUUAUUUUUACUAUUUUCUACAUUGUAGAAUAAUAAUGAAGACAUCAAAACUAUGAAAUAACACAUAUGGAAUCAUGUAGUAACCAAAAAAGUGUUAAACAAAUCAAAAUAUAUUUUAUAUUUGAGAUUCUUCAAAGUAGCCACUCUUUGCCUUGAUGACAGCUUUGCACACUCUUGGCAUUUUCUCAACCAGCUUCAUGAGGUAGUCACCCGGAAUGUAUUUCAAUUAACAGGUGUGCCUUGUUAAAAGUUCAUUAUUGAAAUGUCUUUCCAACUGAGCCAAUCAGUUGUGCUGUGACAAGGUGGGGGGGGUAUACAGAAGAUAUCCUUAUUUGGUAGAAGACGAAGUCCAUAUUAUGGCAACAACAGCACAAAGAGAAACGACAGUCCAUCAUUAUUUUAAGACAUGAAAGUUUCAAUCCAGAAAAUUUCAAGAACUUUUCAAGUUUCUUCAAUGCGGUCACGAAAACCAUCAAGCGCUAUGAUGAAACUGGCUCUCAUGAGAAUAAGUUCAUUCGUGUUACCAGCCUCAGAAAUUGCGGCCCAAAUAAAUUCUUCACAGAGUUCAAGUAACAGACACAUCUCAACAUCAACUGUUCAGAGGAGACUGUGUGAAUCAGGACUUUAUGGUCGAAUUGCUGCAAAGAAACCACUACUAAAGGACACCUAUGAGAAGAAGAGACUUGCUUGGGCCAAGAAACAGGAGCAAUGGACCGGUGGAAAUCUGUCCUUUGAUCUGAUGAGUCCAACUGUUCGAUUUUUGGUUCCAACCACCGUGUCUUUGUGAGACACAGAGUAGGUGAACAGAUGAUCUCCGCAUGUGUGGUUCCCACCGUGAAGUGAUCUCCGCAUGUGUGGUUCCCACCGGGAAGCAUGCAGGAGGAGGUGUGAUGGUGUGGGGGUGCUUUGCUGGUGACACUGUCAGUGAUUUAUUUAGAAUUCAAGGCACUCUUAACCAGCAUGGCUACCACAGCAUUCUGCAGCGAUACGCCAUCCCAUCUGGUUUGCACUUAGUGAUUUGUUUUUCAACAGAAAAAUGACCCAACACACCUCCAGGCUGUGUAAGGGCUAUUUGAUCAAAAAGGAGAGUGAUGUAGUGCUGCAUCAGAUGACCUGGCCUCCACAAUCACCCGACCUCAAACCCAAUUAGUUGGUUUGGGAAGAGUCGGACCGCAGAGUGAAGGAAAAGCAGCAAACAAGUGCUCAGCAUAUGUGGGAAUUCCUUCAAGGAAAAGCAUUCCAGGUGAAGCUGGUUGAGAGAAUGCCAAGUGUGAAAAGCUGGCGAACUAUUAGUAUAGUAGUGUAUGUAUUUGGACAGUGAUGCAACAUUUUUACAUGUGGCUCUAUACUUCAUCAUUUCGGAUUUGAGAUCAAUUGUUCAUAUUUAUUUUUUUACCUUUAUUUAACUAGGCAAGUCAGUUAAGAACAAAUUCUUAUGUUCAAUGACGGCCUAGAAACAGUGGGUUAACUGCCUGUUCAGGGGCAGAACGACAGAUUUGUACCUUGUCAGCUCGGGGGUUUGAACUUGCAACCUUCCAUUUACUAGUCCAACGCCCCAAACACUAGGCUACCCUGCCCCAUAUGAGGUGACAGACAGAAUGUCACCUUUUAAUUGAGGGUAUUUUCAUAUCUGAUUUAAGUAUUUGGACAAAUUUGUACUUAUAGUGUACUAAAGUAGUCAAAAACUGAGUAUUUGCUCCCAGAUUUCUUGGGUUUUGGGUUUUGCCCAAUAGGAACCGAAUGGUGAUUAGAGUGAUAUUCCAUCUAAGUGAGUAGAUAAGAUGUUUGUGAACAGUUCUAUAUCAAUCCUGAUAAUGCCAUGAUUAAGAAAAAUCAUGAAUGAAUUGUGAAUAAUGAUGAGUGAGUAAAGUUAUAGAAGCUACAGCAAAGUAUGCUAGCCUCUCUACAUUACCAAUAACAAGGGAGGUUAGCAUGCUAACCUCUCAACAUUACCAAUAACAAGGGAGGAUAGCAUGCUAACCUCUCAACAUUACCAAUAACAAGGGAGGAUAGCAUGCUAACCUCUCAACAUUACCAAUAACAAGGGAGGAUAGCAUGCUAACCUCUCAACAUUACCAAUA